rnacentral:siRNA from 1 species
UGGUUCAAGCCAAUGUGUUCAGCC